rnacentral:rRNA from 1 species
UACGUAGGUGGCAAGCGUUGUCCGGAUUUAUUGGGCGUAAAAGGCUUGUAGGUGGCCACGCCAAGUCGGAUGUGAAAUCUCCCGGCUCAACUGGGAGGGGUCAUUCGAUACUGGCGGGCUCGAGGCCGGUAGGGGGAAGUGGAAUUCCCGGUGUAGUGGUGGAAUGCGUAGAUAUCGGGAGGAACACCAGUGGCGAAGGCGGCUUCCUGGACCGGUUCUGACACUGAGGAGCGAAAGCGUGGGGAGCGAGCCGG